rnacentral:rRNA from 1 species
GGGCGUAAAGCGCGCGUAGGCGGUUAUUUAAGCCAGAUGUGAAAUCCCCGGGCUCAACCUGGGAACUGCAUUUGGAACUGGGUAACUAGAAUGCAGCAGAGGAUAGUGGAAUUUCAGGUGUAGCGGUGAAAUGCGUAGAGAUCUGAAGGAACAUCAGUGGCGAAGGCGACUGUCUGGGCUGACAUUGACGCUGAGGUGCGAAAGCGUGGGUAGCAAACAGGAUUAGAUACCCUGGUAGUCCACGCCGUAAACGAUGUCUACUAGCCGUUGGGAUCUUUAAGAUUUUAGUGGCGCAGCUAACGCGAUAAGUAGACCGCCUGGGGAGUACGGUCGCAAGAUUAAAACUCAAAUGAAUUGACGGGGGCCCGCACAAGCGGUGGAGCAUGUGGUUUAAUUCGAAGCAACGCGAAGAACCUUACCUACUCUUGACAUCCAGAGAAUCCUGUAGAGAUACGGGAGUGCCUUCGGGAAUUCUGAGACAGGUGCUGCAUGGCU